AUACGUAGGUGGCAAGCGUUAUCCGGAAUUAUUGGGCGUAAAGAGUGAGCAGGCGGUUAAUUAAGUCUGAGGUUAAAGCGUGGGGCUCAACCCCAUAAAGCCUUGGAAACUGAUUGACUAGAGUACGGGAGAAGUGAAGGGAACUCCAUGUGUAGCGGUGAAAUGCGUAGAUAUAUGGAAGAACACCAGUGGCGAAGGCGCUUCACUAGCCCGAAACUGACGCUCAGUCACGAAAGCGAGGGUAGCAAAUAGGAUUAGAUACCCUAGUAGUCCACGCUGUAAACGAUGACAACUAAAUAUUGCCGCGAGGCAGUGUUGAAGCUAACGCAUUAAGUUGUCCGCCUGGGGAGUUCGGUCGCAAGACUGAAACUUAAAGGAAUUGACGUGG
rnacentral:rRNA from 1 species